rnacentral:rRNA from 1 species
UACGUAGGGGGCAAGCGUUGUCCGGAUUUAUUGGGCGUAAAGAGCGUGUAGGCGGCCAUACAGGUCAGCUGUGAAAACUCGAGGCUCAACCUCGAGACGUCGGUUGAAACCGUAUGGCUAGAGUCCGGAAGAGGAGAGUGGAAUUCCCGGUGUAGCGGUGAAAUGCGCAGAUAUCGGGAAGAACACCCGUGGCGAAGGCGGCUACUCUGGGAC